rnacentral:lncRNA from 1 species
CAGAAAGUACUGCAGGAAAUGUUCAAAGAGAAUGGAAGCCAAGAAUGUUUACCUGAGGUCACCUAGUAUCAAGCCAGUCACAUCAACAAGAUGAAACCAGGGAAUGAGACACAAAUUUCACAAUUCCUUCUCCUGGGACUUUCAGAGGAACCAGAAUUGCAGCCCUUCCUCUUUGGGCUAUUUCUGUCCAUGUACCUGGUCACCGUGCUCGGGAACCUGCUCAUCAUCCUGGCCACAAUCUCAGACUCCCACCUCCACACCCCCAUGUACUUCUUCCUCUCCAACCUGUCCUUUGCAGACAUCUGUUUUGUGUCUACCACUGUCCCAAAGAUGCUGGUGAACAUCCAGACACAGAGCAGAGUCAUCACCUAUGCAGACUGCAUCACCCAGAUGUGCUUUUUUAUACUCUUUGUAGUGUUGGACAGCUUACUCCUGACUGUGAUGGCCUAUGACCGGUUUGUGGCCAUCUGUCACCCCCUGCACUACACAGUCAUUAUGAACUCCUGGCUCUGUGGACUGCUGGUUCUGGUGUCCUGGAUCGUGAGCAUCCUAUAUUCUCUGUUACAAAGCAUAAUGGCAUUGCAGCUGUCCUUCUGUACAGAAUUGAAAAUCCCUCAUUUUUUCUGUGAACUUAAUCAGGUCAUCCACCUUGCCUGUUCCGACACUUUUAUUAAUGACAUGAUGAUGAAUUUUACAAGUGUGCUGCUGGGUGGGGGAUGCCUCGCUGGAAUAUUUUACUUACUUUAAGAUACUUUGUUGCAUAUGUUCGAUCUCAUCAGCUCAGGGGAUGAAUAAAGCACUUUCCACCUGUGCAUCUCACCUCUCAGUUGUCUCCUUAUUUUAUUGUACAGGCGUAGGUGUGUACCUUAGUUCUGCUGCAACCCAUAACUCACUCUCAAAUGCUGCAGCCUCGGUGAUGUACACUGUGGUCACCUCCAUGCUGAACCCCUUCAUCUACAGCCUGAGGAAUAAAGACAUAAACAGAGCUCUGAAUCGAUUCUUCAGAGAGCAGAAACAGGAGGGCCAUUUUCCAGAAGUUCUUGAGAUUUCAGAGCUCUAAAUCCCCUAGCCAGAAAUUAUGAUUCAUGGAUCAGAUUGUGAAAGUAGAAUUUUCUCCUAGUAUUUAUAUUCUGGACUUUAGAUUUCUUUAACCUUGAC